rnacentral:rRNA from 1 species
AAUGAACGUUGGCGGCGUGGAUUAGGCAUGCGAGUCGUGCGAGAACCGUAGCAAUACGGGGACAGCGGCGAAAGGGAGAGGAACACGUGGAUACCUACCCUCAGGUUCAGGAUAGCUAUGGGAAACUAUAGGUAAUACUGAAUAAUAUCUCCGGAUCAAAGGUGUGAUUCCGCCGGAGGAGGGGUCCGCGUCCUAUUAGCUAGUUGGUGAGGUAAUGGCUCACCAAGGCGAAGAUGGGUACGGGAUGUGAGAGCAUGAUCCCGCUCAUUGGGACUGAGACACUGCCCAGACACCUACGGGUGCUGCGGUCGAGAAUCUUCGGCAAUGGGGGAAACCCUGACCGAGCGACGCCGCGUGUGAGA